rnacentral:rRNA from 1 species
UAGGGCGCAAGCGUUAUCCGGAAUUAUUGGGCGUAAAGAGCUCGUAGGCGGUUUGUCGCGUCUGCCGUGAAAGUCCGGGGCUCAACCCCGGAUCUGCGGUGGGUACGGGCAGACUAGAGUGAUGUAGGGGAGACUGGAAUUCCUGGUGUAGCGGUGAAAUGCGCAAAUAUCAGGAGGAACACCGAUGGCGAAGGCAGGUCUCUGGGCAUUAACUGACGCUGAGGAGCGAAAGCAUGGGGAGCGAACAGGAUUAGAUACCCUGGUAGUCCAUGCCGUAAACGUUGGGCACUAGGUGUGGGGGACAUUCCACGUUUUCCGCGCCGUAGCUAACGCAUUAAGUGCCCCGCCUGGGGAGUACGGCCGCAAGGCUAAAACUCAAAGGAAUUGACGGGGGCCCGCACAAGCGGCGGAGCAUGCGGAUUAAUUCGAUGCAACGCGAAAAACCUUACCAAGGCUUGACAUGAACCGGAAACGCCUGGAAACAGGUGCCCCGCUUGCGGUCGGUUUACAGGUGGUGCAUGGUUGUCGUCAGCUCGUGUCGUGAGAUGUUGGGUUAAGUCCCGCAACGAGCGCAACCCUCGUUCCAUGUUGCCAGCGGGUUAUGCCGGGGACUCAUGGGAGACUGCCGGGGUCAACUCGGAGGAAGGUGGGGACGACGUCAAAUCAUCAUGCCCCUUAUGUCUUGGGCUUCACGCAUGCUACAAUGGCCGGUACAAAGGGUUGCGAUACUGUGAGGUGGAGCUAAUCCCAAAAAGCCGGUCUCAGUUCGGAUUGGGGUCUGCAACUCGACCCCAUGAAGUCGGAGUCGCUAGUAAUCGCAGAUCAGCACGCUGCGGUGAAUAC